ACACUUAACCAUGAGAAGUACAGUGUUCGCACCGAGACAUUGCACUUGCAGACCCUACACCUACACCGUAGCACUGCCACCCCCAUCCCUCUCCCUCCCAUCUUCAGGGCACCACUUUCAAGCUAGCUCUGCAGCUCUGGAAGUUGAUGGCUCGAAGAAAGAAGGCCCUCAGACCCAACUUAGUUUACUGGCUGCCCUAAUAGCUCUGUGGCUGUGGGACUUGACAGCUGGAAGAAGGUAGGCCUUCGGACCGCUGCAGGUUGGGCAUGGAGCGGCUCUGUGAUGGGUGCAGUGGAGCACGUGGAUCGUGCCGGCAGGUGCACUUGGUGAGUUUUUCUAGUGCUGCUGAGCAUGCAGACUUCCCCACAUGCCCCAGUUGUGCCCGGAUCUCCAAACUCCUUUGCAUCAUUGUGUCUCACAGCGCCAGGCAUCUCUCUGCGGUGCUGCCGGUGGCAGCGGAGAACUGUGGUGUAAGAACUACAGGGAGAUCAGUGGCUCUUCAUGAAGUCAUCAAGAAACGGGAAGCUGCAUUUCCUGGAAUGGCCCAGAACCCAUCUUGUCUGUCCGGUGACAACUCUGAACAUGCACUGGGACCCUGCACUUGCAGACCCUACACAUAUGCUGUAGCACUGCUGCCCCGUCCCCUCUCCCUCCCGUUUCCCUGGCACCAUUUCCAAGC
rnacentral:lncRNA from 1 species